UACGUAGGUGACGAGCGUUGUCCGGAUUUACUGGGCGUAAAGAGCGCGCAGGCGGUCGUUCAAGUCGCGUGUGAAAGCCCCCGGCUCAACUGGGGAGGGUCACGCGAUACUGAUCGACUCGAAGGCAGGAGAGGGUAGUGGAAUUCCCGGUGUAGUGGUGAAAUGCGUAGAUAUCGGGAGGAACACCAGUGGCGAAGGCGACUACCUGGCCUGUUCUUGACGCUGAGGCGCGAAAGCUAGGGGAGCAAACGGG
rnacentral:rRNA from 1 species